rnacentral:rRNA from 1 species
AGUGAACGCUGGCGGUAGGCCUAACACAUGCAAGUCGAACGGCAGCACAGUAAGAGCUUGCUCUUACGGGUGGCGAGUGGCGGACGGGUGAGGAAUACAUCGGAAUCUACUUUUUCGGGGGGGAUAACGUAGGGAAACUUACGCUAAUACCGCAUACGACCUACGGGUGAAAGCAGGGGUUCUUCGGACCUUGCGCGAUUGAAUGAGCCGAUGUCGGAUUAGCUAGUUGGCGGGGUAAAGGCCCACCAAGGCGACGAUCCGUAGCUGGUCUGAGAGGAUGAUCAGCCACACUGGAACUGAGACACGGUCCAGACUCCUACGGGAGGCAGCAGUGGGGAAUAUUGGACAAUGGGCGCAAGCCUGAUCCAGCCAUACCGCGUGGGUGAAGAAGGCCUUCGGGUUGUAAAGCCCUUUUGUUGGGAAAGAAAAGCAGCAGGUUAAUACCCCGCUGUUCUGACGGUACCCAAAGAAUAAGCACCGGCUAACUUCGUG